GUCUCCGUAGCUCAGCUGGAUAGAGCGUCCGCCUCCUAAGCGGAAGGCCGUGGGUUCGAAUCCCGCCGGGGACGCCA
rnacentral:tRNA from 1 species